rnacentral:lncRNA from 1 species
AGAUGUGUACGUGUGUUUGUUGAACAGGGCCGAUGGCUGCAUCUGUUUCAGCUAGUAGAGAAACAAUACCAAGAGCAGAUCUUGGCUCAGCAAGAACAGUACCAGUGCCAAAUACAGCUGAUUCAGGAUGAGAUCAAAGCCUUAGUUCAGCUCCAGAACCGACAGACCAGCACACAGACGCACCACGAUUACCCAUAUACCCCUACUGCUACCACCAACACACAGACACAUCACAAUUACCCAUCUACUCUGUCUACUGUCACACAGACACACCCAGACUACACCUCUUCCCCUGUUGUUACUACCAAGGACUACCCUUCACCCCCCACUUCCAACCCCAACCAACCCUCAACCUGCACGGACCUUCCCAAUGGGAACUCGCCCCUCUCUGCUCCCCUCACCUCCCUCUUUGUCCCCCAACCCAUUUUGAGCUCCACCUCCCCUCAACCCCCACCCCCCCGGCCAGAGCCGGUCACCCUAGGAGAGAAGUGUGCUGAUGGGGCAGGGACGGUGCUAUGCAGUGGGUACGGGACCCUGUCGGCCUGGGGCACAGGGCUAGAGGGGACAGUGACUCUGGGGGGAGCAGAGGAGACAGGCCAGGUCGAAGAGGAGCCUAGCUGGUCCCUUCACCUCCAGGACGACACAGACAUCACUCUGAUUGGCCAGGAGGGUCAACAGAGGAGCGCCUCGGCCAAUGAGGUGGCUCCUAGAGCCAAUCCUAGUCCACCACCUGAGCAGCAGAGAACCUCCAGCCAACCACUGACAUCCUGGGCUCAAAGACUGAGACGCAGCAAACCCAAGAAGAGCAGGCUAGGGCAGGCCCAACAUCCCCAGGCCUCCCCCUCACCCCUUCAGGCCCCGUACCUGGGCCAGAGCGACCCUCAGUCCUCUUCCCCCCAGGAGCAGCAGCCAAGCUCCAGGAAGAGCCCCAGAGACAGCCCCCUGGAUGACACUGACUUCCAGGACCAGGUAUGCCUAGCACCGGCCUGUUCCAUUACAAUUUAUUGUAGCUAGAUAAAAUGAUCUUUGGAUUACUAGAGUCAGUAUAGUGCUCUGGCAUUUUGUUAUAUCACCAUGUAUUUUGUCUGUGUGUGUCACUGUUAUGGAGCGACUUCAGUGCCAACAGAAAUUGUAUUUGAAUUUUAUAAUUUAUC